GGAUGUGAGGGCGAUCUGGCUGUGACAUCUAUCAUCCUAUUGAUGGGCGGGGUUGAUUGGGCUGAUCUGGCUGGCUAGGUAGGUGGCCCCUUCCUCUCUCACUGCUCCAUGUGCACCCCUUGUGAAGCUGUGCACUGGAUCAAACAGGACAACCACUCCCAAUAGAGGAGGACCACUUCCUCCAAACAAGUUCUCAAAGACAAACGAGCAAACAAACAAACAAACAGGGUAAGGACAUAGCUUAGUGU
rnacentral:sRNA from 1 species